rnacentral:tRNA from 1 species
GGCUGGGUAGCUCAGUGGUAGAGCAGUGGACUCAUAAGCCAUUGGUCGGGGGUCCGAAUCCCCCCCCAGCCA